rnacentral:rRNA from 1 species
UAUACAUGCAAGUCGGACGGGAUCCGUCGGAGAGCUUGCUCGAAGACGGUGAGAGUGGCGCACGGGUGCGUAACGCGUGAGCAACCUACCUCUAUCAGGGGGAUAGCCUCUCGAAAGAGAGAUUAACACCGCAUAACAUAUCUGACCGGCAUCGGUUAGCUAUUAAAUAUUUAUAGGAUAGAGAUGGGCUCGCGUGACAUUAGCUAGUUGGUAGGGUAACGGCUUACCAAGGCGACGAUGUCUAGGGGCUCUGAGAGGAGAAUCCCCCACACUGGUACUGAGACACGGACCAGACUCCUACGGGAGGCAGCAGUAAGGAAUAUUGGUCAAUGGGCGGAAGCCUGAACCAGCCAUGCCGCGUGCAGGAAGACUGCCCUAUGGGUUGUAAACUGCUUUUGUCCAGGAAUAAACCUUUCUACGUGUAUCAAGCUGAAUGUACUGGAAGAAUAAGGAUCGGCUAACUCCGUGCCAGCAGCCGCGGUAAUACGGAGGAUCCGAGCGUUAUCCGGAUUUAUUGGGUUUAAAGGGUGCGUAGGCGGCCUAUUAAGUCAGGGGUGAAAUACGGUGGCUCAACCAUCGCAGUGCCUUUGAUACUGAUGGGCUUGAAUCCAUUUGAAGUGGGCGGAAUAAGACAAGUAGCGGUGAAAUGCAUAGAUAUGUCUUAGAACUCCGAUUGCGAAGGCAGCUCACUAAGCUGGUAUUGACGCUGAUGCACGAAAGCGUGGGGAUCGAACAGGAUUAGAUACCCUGGUAGUCCACGCCCUAAACGAUGAUAACUCGAUGUUGGCGAUAGACAGCCAGCGUCCAAGCGAAAGCGUUAAGUUAUCCACCUGGGGAGUACGCCCGCAAGGGUGAAACUCAAAGGAAUUGACGGGGGCCCGCACAAGCGGAGGAGCAUGUGGUUUAAUUCGAUGAUACGCGAGGAACCUUACCCG